rnacentral:rRNA from 13 species
AUUCCUGUACCGAUCAAUAGUGCGAUGUGGGGACGGAGAAGGUUAGCUCAGCCGGGUGUUGGAUGUCCCGGUUCAAGCCUGUAGUCGUGCCUGGUAGGCAAAUCCGCCGGGCUUAGAUGAGGGGUGAUAACGAGGAGGCUUGCCUCCGAAGUGAGUGAUACCCUGCUUCCAGGAAAAGCCACUAAGCUUCAGCUAUUGACGACCGUACCGCAAACCGACACUGGUGCGCGAGAUGAGUAUUCUAAGGCGCUUGAGAGAACUCUGGAGAAGGAACUCGGCAAAUUGACACCGUAACUUCGGAAGAAGGUGUGCCUUUAGUAG